CCUACGGGGGGCUGCAGUGGGGAAUAUUGGACAAUGGGCGAAAGCCUGAUCCAGCCAUGCCGCGUGUGUGAAGAAGGCCUUCGGGUUGUAAAGCACUUUCAGUGGGGAAGAAAGCCUUGGGGCUAAUACCCUCGAGGAAGGACUUCACCCACAGAAGAAGCACCGGCUAACUCCGUGCCAGCAGCCGCGGUAAUACGGAGGGUGCGAGCGUUAAUCGGAAUUACUGGGCGUAAAGCGCGCGUAGGCGGUCUGAUAAGCCGGUUGUGAAAGCCCCGGGCUCAACCUGGGAACGGCAUCCGGAACUGUCAGGCUAGAGUGCAGGAGAGGAAGGUAGAAUUCCCGGUGUAGCGGUGAAAUGCGUAGAGAUCGGGAGGAAUACCAGUGGCGAAGGCGGCCUUCUGGACUGACACUGACGCUGAGGUGCGAAAGCGUGGGUAGCAAACAGGAUUAGAUACCCGGGUAGUC
rnacentral:rRNA from 1 species